AUGGACAUCUACUUCCUCUGCUGUGCAACCUUUUGUCUCCUAGGUACAGGCCUUAUGAAUGCCAGGGUCACCCAGAGCCCCAAACACCUGAUCACAAGGAUUGGCCAGGCAGUGACCCUGCAGUGUGAUCCAGCACCCACUUUUGAUGUCCUCUACUGGUACAGACAAAAAUCAGAUCAAAGGCCCCAGUUCCUGUAUGACUUUCGGGAUAAUACAGUAGUGGAAUCGAAGGUGGAUAAGUCUAGGUUUAUAGCCAACUGGCCCAAGUCCUCAUCUUCCACUCUCAAGAUUGGUUUCACAAAAGUAGAAGACUUGGCUUUGUAUCUCUGUGCCAGUUGCAAAGGCACAGGCUAUGGGACCUACUUCGGAGAGGGGACUCGGCUAACAGUCCUGGAUAAUCUGGAAAGGGUGACUCCCCCCAAGGUGACUGUGUUUCAGCCAUCUGAGGAAGAGAUUGAGAAGAAGGGAAAGGCCACACUGGUGUGUCUGGCCACAGGCUUCUACCCUGACCUCGUGGAGCUGAGAUGGUGGGUGAAUGGACAGGAGACCCAAGUUGGGGUCAGCACGGACCCUCAGCCCUCCAGGGAGGAGCCCCAUAACAACCAUUCCAAAUACUCUCUGAGCAGCCGCCUCCGGGUUUCUGCUCCCUUCUGGCGCAACCCCAAGAACAGCUUCCGUUGCCAAGUACUGUUCUAUGGCAUCUCUGAGGACGAGACCUGGACAAGUAACCAGAACAAACCUGUCACCCAGAAUGUCAGUGACCAGAUCUGGGGAAGGGCAGAUUGUGGUAUUACAUCUGAGUCUUAUCAACAAAGUAUCCAAUCUGCCACCUUCUUCUAUGAAAUCCUGCUGGGGAAGGCCAUGCUAUACGGUCUGCUGGUCAGUGCCCUGCUGUGGAGAGCUAUGGCUAAGAAAAACCAUUCCUGAGGCCAGCUGUGAAGGUAACAACAGGAAGGAAAGAACAGGAGAAUCCAGCGCACUAUCUUGGCUACUGCUUUUUCUAUUCCUAUCCUGUGUUCCAGAAGAGCUAUUAUCUCCUCAAUCAGUAUCUUCAUCUUUCACAGGUCUUCUUAAAGAGCUCAAAGAAGACAAGGAUGGUGGCUUAAUCCUGAAGAAAUAAAAAAAAAGUUCUCGCCCUGCUUA